CAUCGGAAACUGGAUAACUUGAGUGCAGAAGAGGGUAGUGGAACUCCAUGUGUAGCGGUGGAAUGCGUAGAUAUAUGGAAGAACACCAGUGGCGAAGGCGGCUACCUGGUCUGCAACUGACGCUGAGACUCGAAAGCAUGGGUAGCGAACAGGAUUAGAUACCCUGGUAGUCCAUGCCGUAAACGAUGAGUGCUAGGUGUUGGAGGGUUUCCGCCCUUCAGUGCCGGAGCUAACGCAUUAAGCACUCCGCCUGGGGAGUACGACCGCAAGGUUGAAACUCAAAGGAAUUGACGGGGGCCCGCACAAGCGGUGGAGCAUGUGGUUUAAUUCGAAGCUACGCGAAGAACCUUACCAGGUCUUGACAUCUUGCGCCAACCCUAGAGAUAGGGCGUUUCCUUCGGGAACGCAAUGACAGGUGGUGCAUGGUCGUCGUCAGCUCGUGUCGUGAGAUGUUGGGUUAAGUCCCGCAACGAGCGCAACCCUUGUUACUAGUUGCCAGCAUUAAGUUGGGCACUCUAGUGAGACUGCCGGUGACAAACCGGAGGAAGGUGGGGACGACGUCAGAUCAUCAUGCCCCUUAUGACCUGGGCUACACACGUGCUACAAUGGACGGUACAACGAGUCGCGAACUCGCGAGGGCAAGCAAAUCUCUUAAAACCGUUCUCAGUUCGGACUGCAGGCUGCAACUCGCCUGCACGAAGUCGGAAUCGCUAGUAAUCGCGGAUCAGCAUGCCGCGGUGAAUACGUUCCCGGGCCUUGUACACACCGCCCGUCACACCAUGAGAGUUUGUAACACCCAAAGUCGGGUGAGAACGAUCUAGGAGCAGGACGCCUCAGGUGAUCCGUGUACGC
rnacentral:rRNA from 1 species